rnacentral:rRNA from 1 species
UACGUAGGGUGCAAGCGUUGUCCGGAAUUAUUGGGCGUAAAGAGCUCGUAGGCGGUUUGUCGCGUCGGCCGUGAAAUCUCCACGCUUAACGUGGAGCGUGCGGUCGAUACGGGCAGACUUGAGUUCGGUAGGGGAGACUGGAAUUCCUGGUGUAGCGGUGAAAUGCGCAGAUAUCAGGAGGAACACCGGUGGCGAAGGCGGCUCACUGGCUCGUAACUGACGCUCAUGCACGACAGCGUGGGGAUCAAACAGG